ensembl:lncRNA
AGUUAGUCAGAUAUGUCAUGGAUUAUUUUAUAUCAUGUCUUUGGUCUGUUUUCUCAUAUUUUGUCUUUUGAUCUUUUGAAGGAUGCCUCGGAAAGGUAGGAGAUCCCAGGCUCAAAAAAUUCGUUGGACAAAGUUAGAUCUGAAAGGGCAGGCGACCGUCAGUAAAGGUGUUGCUCAGGUUUCUGAUGGACAGCAGUACGAAGAUGAUGACAGCACAUCUAGAAUUCUAUCCGUGCAGGCGUCUCAUUGCCAGAGUGAUGCAAGAACUGCUGAAGGUUUGCCACAUCCUACUGGUGACGGAACCGCAGUUAUGCUAACUUUCACCAACCUGCAUGACAUGACCAACAGAUUACUUGAGCUUUUUUGGAAUCGUGGUCCUCAAGCAUGCUAUGAAUUCAUGGCUGUUUCCUUUGAAAUGGAGCAGCAGUCAGGGAGAUCAAUUUCAUCUUCAGCUUGUGAGUCACUCUCACAAGUUACUUCAUCUCUGUCCACACCACAAAGAAAUGUCAAAAUCCCUGAAAAUAUUUUUUUUGCAGAAGACCAAAACCAAAGUGUCAUGAAUGUCAUCAAAUCAAACAAGCCGCGAAGAAGAAAAGAAGUGCGUAAAAUGGCUAAACAUUGUGCAAGACCUAAGGACACAACUUCACAUUUUGAAAUUCGAGAACAAAAAAGAAGGGAAUAUGAGAAAGAGAAGUAUGCCACCGAUUUGCAGUUUCGAAUUAAGAAAAUGCAUCUCUCCAAGAAGUGUAAUCAAGAUCCUUUUGUCAGAAACAAAAAGAGGGAGUACUUUGUCAGGAGGUACCACACUGAUGCUGUUUUCCAGAAGAAAAUGAAGGAACACAUGGUUAAGAGGUACCACACUGAUGCUUUUUUCCAGAAGAAGAAGAAGGAAUGCAUGGUCAGGAGGUACCACACGGAUGCUUUUUUCCAGAAGAAGAAGAAGGACUGCAUGGUCAGGAGGUACCACACUGAUGCUCAUUUCCAGAAGAAAAUGAAGGACUACAUGGCCAGGAGGUACCACACCGAUGCUAUUUUCCAGAAAAAAAUGAAGAACUACAUGGCCAGAA